UACGAGGGGGGCGAGCGUUGUUCGGAAUUAUUGGGCGUAAAGGGUGCGUAGGCGGCCUGACAAGUCUGAUGUGAAAUCCCUGGGCUCAACCCAGGGCCUGCAUCGGAAACUGUCGGGCUUGAGUAUGGGAGAGGUGAGUGGAAUUUCCGGUGUAGCGGUGAAAAUGCGUAGAUAUCGGAAGGAACACCUGUGGCGAAAGCGGCUCACUGGACCAUUACUGACGCUGAGGCACGAAAAGCU
rnacentral:rRNA from 1 species